rnacentral:rRNA from 1 species
UACGUAGGGUGCAAGCGUUUAAUCGGAAUUACUGGGCGUAAAGCGUGCGCAGGCGGCUUUGCAAGACAGAUGUGAAAUCCCCCGGGCUCAACCUGGGAACUGCAUUUGUGACUGCAUGGCUAGAGUACGGUAGAGGGGGAUGGAAUUCCGCGUGUAGCAGUGAAAUGCGUAGAUAUGCGGAGGAACACCGAUGGCGAAGGCAAUCCCCUGGACCUGUACUGACGCUCAUGCACGAAAGCGUGGGGAGCAAACAGG